rnacentral:rRNA from 1 species
UACGAAGGGUGCAAACGUUGCUCGGAAUUAUUGGGCGUAAAGCGCACGUAGGCGGCUUGGCAAGUCGGAUGUGAAAUCCCUCGGCUCAACCAAGGAAGUGCAUCCGAAACUGCCGAGCUUGAGUACUUAAGAGGAUCGCGGAAUUCCCGGUGUAGAGGUAGAAAUUCGUAGAUAUCGGGAGGAACACCAGUGGCGAAGGCGGCUUGCUGGGCCUUACCUGACGCUGAGGAGCGAAAGCGUGGGGAGCGAACAGG